UGCGCAGGCGGUUUUGUAAGCCAGAUGUGAAAUCCCCGGGCUCAACCUGGGAAUGGCAUUUGGGACUGCAAGGCUGGAGUGCGGCAGAGGAGACUGGAAUUCCCGGUGUAGCAGUGAAAUGCGUAGAUAUCGGGAGGAAUACCGAUGGCGAAGGCAGGUCUCUGGGCUGACACUGACGCUCAUGCACGAAAGCGUGGGGAGCAAACA
rnacentral:rRNA from 1 species